GGCGGUGUGGUGAAAUUGGUAUACACGAGGGAUUCAAAAUCCCUUGCCUUCGGGCGUGACGGUUCGAGUCCGUCCACCGCUACCA
rnacentral:tRNA from 1 species